rnacentral:rRNA from 1 species
CAGUCGCCGCGGGAAAACGUAGGUGGCAAGCGUUGUCCGGAAUUAUUGGGCGUAAAGGGCUCGCAGGCGGUUUCUUAAGUCUGAUGUGAAAGCCCCCGGCUCAACCGGGGAGGGUCAUUGGAAACUGGGAAACUUGGGUGCAGAAGAGGAGAGUGGAAUUCCACGUGUAGCGGUGAAAUGCGUAGAGAUGUGGAGGAACACCAGUGGCGAAGGCGACUCUCUGGUCUGUAACUGACGCUGAGGAGCGAAAGCGUGGGGAGCGAACAGGAUUAGAUACCCCCGUAGUCCCUGUCUCUUAUAC